UACGUAGGGGGCUAGCGUUGUCCGGAUUUAUUGGGCGUAAAGAGCGUGUAGGCGGCCAGGUAGGUCUGCUGUGAAAACUCGAGGCUCAACCUCGAGACGUCGGCGGAAACCAUCUGGCUAGAGUCCGGAAGAGGAGAGUGGAGUUCCUGGUGUAGCGGUGAAAUGCGCAGAUAUCAGGAAGAACACCAGUGGCGAAGGCGGCUCACUGGGCCGAUACUGACACUGAGGAGCGAAAGCGUGGGGAGCGAACAGG
rnacentral:rRNA from 1 species